rnacentral:rRNA from 1 species
UAGGGAAUCUUCGGCAAUGGACGAAAGUCUGACCGAGCAACGCCGCGUGAGUGAAGAAGGUUUUCGGAUCUUAAAACUCUGUUGUUAGAGAAGAACAAGGACGUUAGUAACUGAACGUCCCCUGACGGUAUCUAACCAGAAAGCCACGGCUAACUACGUGCCAGCAGCCGCGGUAAUACGUAGGUGGCAAGCGUUGUCCGGAUUUAUUGGGCGUAAAGCGAGCGCAGGCGGUUUCUUAAGUCUGAUGUGAAAGCCCCCGGCUCAACCGGGGAGGGUCAUUGGAAACUGGGAGGCUUGAGUGCAGAAGAGGAGAGUGGAAUUCCAUGUGUAGCGGUGAAAUGCGUAGAUAUAUGGAGGAACACCAGGGGCGAAGGCGGCUCUCUGGUCUGUAACUGACGCUGAGGCUCGAAAGCGUGGGGAGCAAACAGG